UACGGAGGAUCCAAGCGUUAUCCGGAAUCAUUGGGUUUAAAGGGUCCGUAGGCGGUUUAAUAAGUCAGUGGUGAAAGCCCAUCGCUCAACGGUGGAACGGCCAUUGAUACUGUUAACCUUGAAUUAUUAGGAAGUAACUAGAAUAUGUAGUGUAGCGGUGAAAUGCUUAGAGAUUACAUGGAAUACCAAUUGCGAAGGCAGGUUACUACUAAUGGAUUGACGCUGAUGGACGAAAGCGUGGGUAGCGAACAGG
rnacentral:rRNA from 1 species